rnacentral:siRNA from 1 species
UACCUACGUAUUACUAACUCUCG